rnacentral:lncRNA from 1 species
CAUAUCAAGCAAAAAGCAAGAUAAACAAGAUUUCAGGUAUCUCGAUCCUUGAGUGUUCCAUGUUCGCUAACUUCCCUGCUUUUGAUCCAUUAAGACUCACGAUUGGUUUCCAACAACUUGGUUUGUCUGGAUAUGAAGCAGAUGAAAUUCUGUACAAAAAUCAUAAUAUCGUUUGUGAACUUGUUGGGAACCAAUCCAUUACAUUUGUCAUUAACUUUGGAACAUCUGAAGACGAUAUUGAGAGACUGGUUUCAGGGAUUGAGGAUGUGAGCUCUUCCACAUCGAUUCUGAGAAUCGAAGGAAGAAGCAAACUAAGUGUUUCUGCACCCUUUCCUAAUGUCAAAAUCAGCUUGAAUCCUAGAGAUGCCUUCUUUAUGAAAAAAAGAAGAGAGAACAUUAAAGAAUGUGUUGGAAAGGUGUGUGGAGAGUUAAUAUCCCCAUACCCUCCAGGAAUACCAGUAAUGAUCCCAGGUGAGAUUAUAUCUGAGGAAGCUGUGGAUUAUCUGUUGCAUUUAAAAGGCAAAGUUGCCUCAAUUAGCGGUGCAUCUGAUCCUAAACUAUCUUCACUACUUGUAUGCAAUGUGUAAGAGACUGCAAAACGAUUUGUUAUGUCUCUGCUUGAACUGGUUUCAAUGGUUUGAGUAAUGUGUAACAUUAUGAUAAUGGCUUAUUUGGAUUUUGUGCCAUCUAAAAAUUUAGUUCCAUUUUGAAAACCAAAAUAAUUUGUGAGAACAGCAAAUUAAUGCCAUUAUUAUUAUUACUUCUUUUAUGAACAAGCAACUAAAGACCAAAAUGAGUUAUGACCUAACCACAUAUAUCAUCCUUUAGGAGAAUGAAAGUUUUGAAUGGCAACAUCCAUAUGUUAUCGAACUAGAAAAAAGGACACAAGAAAAUUCAAAAGCUGAUAUGUGCACAGCCCUUGAUCUAUGCUCAAGGGUGAUUCUAAAAUGCUAAAAUUCAUUUCCAAAAUCACUAAAAAAAAUAUGCAAAAUCAAUUUUAGCAGUACAAAAAGUGCAUUUAAAAGUGUGAAUGUAAACAUUAAAUUAAUUUUGAGUUUGAAGUAAUUUUAAACAUGCAGAAGUGUUAAAUUCACAAACAUCUCAGACUUUUGACAAUAAUAUUUUAUCUAGUAUGCAUCUUAAUUCUGAAAUAUGCAAUGAUUCCUGAAGGGGUGAGUGUUCUCCAUUAUUCAUCCAUAGCUAUAGACACAGAAGUUCUAUUUCCUCCAAUGAAGGUUUCUACGAACAACGGCAGUAUUAUUUCCAAUAGACAGUAAAACAGAUAUCAUCAUGCAUGAUCCUCCAAAAUCACAAGAAAAAACAUCUCAUAGGAUUACCAAGAAAUCUAAAGUUAUCAGAUUUUAACUCGUCAUCCACACAUAAUGAUGAAAAGGUAAUAACAGAAAUUCCUUACUUUUUGUUUUAUUACUACGACAUCCCAACAAAAGAUGCUAUCACAUUUUCUAGUCCAAUAAAUGUGAGGAUGGAGUCAGGACACAAACAUCCAACCGCAUAGAAAGGAGUAGAUUCCUUAACCACUAAACUAAGCAAUGCUCAAGUUUAAAAACCAUUUCUAAUUCUUCAUACCCGUCAUUUCUUAUCUUGAUUUCAAACUAUUGAGAAGAAAUUGAUUUUAUCUCAACCAGUGAAUGAAUAAGAGGAUUUUUACCAUCUACCCCCUCUUGGAUGUAGGAUCAGCCUGUGUGUUUCCCCCUUCCUUUGCACGCUUUCUUUAGGUACUGGAAGUUUUACACAGAUAGAACGUUAGAUAACAUGGGUUCCAUCUCGAUACCAAUUUAAAAGAGUAGCCUAUGUAGAUAAACAUUUCGAAAUCCCUCAAUUGUUUUUCAUAGAGGAAUCCUCAACGUAGAUGAUUUAAAACACAUAACUUCCAGCAAGUAGAUGCGGCAAUUCAAUGGAACAAGUAUCUAAGCAGUAAACUGAAAAGCAAACCAAAUUAUCCUAUAAAAAUGAAAGAAUCGCCGACGAAAUGCUCCAAUUUAGUUAUGCUUAAGAUUUACUCUAGGAAUACACCAAUCCUCUAUAAAUACGUUCUUGUGAGCUUCCAUUCCUCCGCCCAUUGCCGCUCUCUAACUCUGAAGUUUAUCUCUUCACUUAGCCUUGUGGAAGUCCCACAAAUAUAACUAAAAUAUUUAUAAAUUAUAAAUAAAAUAUAUAUAUCAAAGUACUUUCCAAAAAAGAUAUUAAAUGUAAUUCCUUGAUGUUAAAAAAUGCUUUUGAAAAAAAAAUAUCAAAUUCAAAUUUAUUAAAAUUGCAAGGACUAAAUGUAAAUAUUUGAAAGUAACUAAAAUUAGUAUUUUAACUAUCAAUAAAUGGACUAUAGUUUAUUUAUUUAAGAAAAUCUUUAGUUCCAAUUUGAUCUUUAAAAAGAAAUUAAGAACCACUUUUCUGAUAUAGGAAACCAAUACCCGAACCUAGUGGCAGAUCCCAAAUUU